GAUGAACGCUGGCGGCGUGCCUAAUACAUGCAAGUCGAGCGAACAGACGAGGAGCUUGCUCCUCUGACGUUAGCGGCGGACGGGUGAGUAACACGUGGAUAACCUACCUAUAAGACUGGGAUAACUUCGGGAAACCGGAGCUAAUACCGGAUAAUAUAUUGAACCGCAUGGUUCAAUAGUGAAAGACGGUUUUGCUGUCACUUAUAGAUGGAUCCGCGCCGCAUUAGCUAGUUGGUAAGGUAACGGCUUACCAAGGCGCCGAUGCGUAGCCGACCUGAGAGGGUGAUCGGCCACACUGGAACUGAGACACGGUCCAGACUCCUACGGGAGGCAGCAGUAGGGAAUCUUCCGCAAUGGGCGAAAGCCUGACGGAGCAACGCCGCGUGAGUGAUGAAGGUCUUCGGAUCGUAAAACUCUGUUAUUAGGGAAGAACAAAUGUGUAAGUAACUAUGCACGUCUUGACGGUACCUAAUCAGAAAGCCACGGCUAACUACGUG
rnacentral:rRNA from 1 species